GGCCGUGAACGCAGCACGUUAUGCAAGCUUUUCACCGGCAGUGAGUCGAGGCUGAGGGAGACCCUCUCACGCUGCUGCGCAGACGGACACAGACAGCAUCCCCUUCAUCAUCUUCAUCACUCAUUAAACACACCGCAGCCUUCGAAAAGUCAUGGAGAAGAAACGAACCAUCAACUUUGGCGCCGGACCCGCAAAACUGCCUCAGUCUGUUCUCCUCCAAGCGCAGAAGGAGCUGCUGGACUACAACGGCAUUGGUGUUAGUGUUCUUGAAAUGAGUCACCGAUCGUCAGACUUCAACAAAAUCAUCAACAAGACAGAGAGUCUUCUGCGAGAGUUGUUAAACAUCCCAGACAACUACAAGGUGCUGUUCCUGCAGGGUGGGGGGUCUGGACAGUUCAGCGCCGUUCCUCUCAACCUGAUUGGUCUCAAAGAGGACAGAUGCGCCGAUUACAUCGUGACCGGCACGUGGUCGGCUAAAGCGGCAAAAGAAGCAGAGAAGUACGGCAAAGUCCGCGUUGUCCACCCAAAGAUGGACAGCUACACCAAAAUUCCCGAGCCCAGCAGCUGGACCCUAAACCCCUCGGCCUCGUACGUGUACUACUGCUGCAACGAGACCGUGCAUGGCGUGGAGUACCACUUCACUCCUGAAACAAACGGGGUGGUGCUCGUCAGCGACAUGUCGUCCAACUUCCUUUCGCGGCCCGUAGACGUGUCGAAGUUUGGGCUCAUUUUCGCCGGGGCUCAGAAAAACGUGGGCUGUGCCGGCGUGACCGUGGUCAUUGUGAGAGAAGACUUGUUAGGCCACGCCCUGAAAGAAUGCCCCAUUGUCCUGGACUACAAGGUGCAGGUGGAAAUGAACUCGCUGUACAACACGCCUCCGUGCUUCAGCAUCUACAUCAUGAAUCUGGUUCUGGAGUGGAUCAAGAACAAUGGAGGCAGCGUCGCCAUGGAGACACUGAACAAGCAGAAGUCCUCCAUCAUUUAUGACAUCAUCAAUGCUUCAAAUGGUUUCUAUGUGUGUCCUGUAGACACGACCUGUCGAAGCCGCAUGAACGUGCCUUUCCGAGUGGGGAAGAAAGAUGGAGAUGACGCCUUGGAAAAGAAGUUUCUGGAUGGAGCGUCGAAACUUGGAAUGAUCUCACUGAAAGGACACAGGUCAGUGGGAGGAAUGCGUGCGUCUCUGUAUAAUGCUGUAACGCUGGAGGACACUGAAGCCUUGGCGGACUACAUGAGGGAAUUCCUCAAAGAGCAUCAAUGAAUGCAGAUGAACGUUGCUCUGUAGAAUUAAUUUACGUCUCACUCCAGUUUUAAUAAAAAAUUCAAUCUUUAGACUUAAGUUAAAUUUCUUUUGGGUUUUCUAACAUAAAUGUUUAGAUACAUUUUUUAAAGUGUUUGGACAAACAACAUUGUAGUGUAAAAAAGUCAUUAAAUAUUAUAAAAAUUUGCAAACUAAUAAAUGUCAUUUGAAAAUGAUUGCGUGUAUCCCAGUUAAGGUCUUCUGACGUUUUGUUAAUAAACACAUUUUUUGUUCAAGAUGUGACUACAACUCAGAGAUAUUUGCUAACAUAUUUCUGUCAAAAUAACAUUUUUAUUAGAAUUUAUUGCUUUACUGUAAACCUAUUCUCCAGUCCCAAAGUUCAGGGGUCUGCAACCUUCAACAUUUUUCGGAUUCAUUUCUCACCGACCAGUAGGAGUCUCGGAAAAAUAAGACGCUGGUUUGUUUAUAAGUUAGUUACUUUUAUGAUAAAUAUAAAUGAACUGAUUUUUUUAUUCAUUUGGCAUAAAUAAAAAAAGACAAAGAAAAAAAUAAUUAUUUUUUGAAUCAUGAGAUAUAUAACUUAUCACAUGACUUCCUUUCAAAAUAAAAGGCACCCUGUUUUACAUAGAAUGAUCUCGGUGCAGGAUAAGUGGUAGAAUAAUGCAAUGUCAGCGGUGAUGAAAAUAAAUAAAUAAAUAACACUGUUUAGUGCACCUCAGUCAGAAAUUCAUAAAUCUGACUAACCAGAAAUAAAUUGGAGCUAUUUAAGUGAA